rnacentral:rRNA from 1 species
CGCGGCCUAUCAGCUUGUUGGUGGGGUAAUGGCCUACCAAGGCGACGACGGGUAGCCGGCCUGAGAGGGUGUCCGGCCACACUGGGACUGAGAUACGGCCCAGACUCCUACGGGAGGCAGCAGUGGGGAAUAUUGCACAAUGGGCGCAAGCCUGAUGCAGCGACGCCGCGUGAGGGAUGACGGCCUUCGGGUUGUAAACCUCUUUCAGCAGGGACGAAGCGCAAGUGACGGUACCUGUAGAAGAAGGACCGGCCAACUACGUACCAGCAGCCGCGGUAAUACGUAGGGUCCGAGCGUUGUCCGGAAUUACUGGGCGUAAAGAGCUCGUAGGUGGUUUGUCGCGUUGUCCGUGAAAACUCACAGCUCAACUGUGGGCGUGCGGGCGAUACGGGCAGACUGGAGUACUGCAGGGGAGACUGGAAUUCCUGGUGUAGCGGUGGAAUGCGCAGAUAUCAGGAGGAACACCGGUGGCGAAGGCGGGUCUCUGGGCAGUAACUGACGCUGAGGAGCGAAAGCGUGGGGAGCGAACAGGAUUAGAUACCCUGGUAGUCCACGCCGUAAACGGUGGGUACUAGGUGUGGGUUUCCUUCCUUGGGAUCCGUGCCGUAGCUAACGCAUUAAGUACCCCGCCUGGGGAGUACGG